GGCCGCUGACGCGUCGCGCUUCCUCGUAUGCUCCGCGUGUUCAGGGUGGCUUGCUCUCUUUUUCCCUCGGCAGAGAAGAGGCGAUGGCGGUGAUGGCAUCUUUCGGCGCCCUGGCACUACUCCUGCUGUCCGGCCUCUCUUGCUGCUCAGCAGAGGCCUGCCUGGAGCCCCAGAUCACCCCUUCCUACUAUACCACCUCGGAUGCCGUCAUUUCCACAGAGACUGUCUUCAUUGUGGAGAUCUCCCUCACCUGCAAGAACAGGGUCCAGAACAUGGCUCUUUAUGCUGACGUUAGUGGAAAACAGUUUCCUGUCACCCGUGGCCAGGAUGUGGGCCGUUAUCAGGUAUCCUGGAGCCUGGAGCACAAGAGUGCCCAUGCAGGCACCUAUGAAGUCAGAUUCUUUGAUGAGGAGUCCUAUAGCCUUCUAAGAAAGGAGUACCUGUCUCCCCCAUUGCCAGCCCAGCCAGCACCUCUUGAUCCCAGCACCUCCCUUACAGGCUCAGAGAAAUAAUGAAGAUGUUUCCAUCAUCCCACCCCUGUUCACAGUCAGCGUGGACCAUCGGGGCACCUGGAAUGGUCCCUGGGUCUCCACAGAGGUGCUGGCUGCAGUAAUUGGCAUCGUGAUAUACUACCUGGCCUUCAGUGCAAAGAGCCACAUCCAGGCCUGAGGGCAGCACCCCAGCUCUCCUUUGCUUCUUUAAAUAAAGUCACCAUUUGCCACAAA